UACGUAGGGUGCGGAGCGUUGUCCGGAAUUAUUGGGCGUAAAGGGCUCGUAGGCGGUUUGUCGCGUCGGGAGUGAAAACUCAGGGCUUAACCCUGAGCCUGCUUCCGAUACGGGCAGACUAGAGGUAUGCAGGGGAGAACGGAAUUCCUGGUGUAGCGGUGAAAUGCGCAGAUAUCAGGAGGAACACCGGUGGCGAAGGCGGUUCUCUGGGCAUUACCUGACGCUGAGGAGCGAAAGUGUGGGGAGCGAACAGG
rnacentral:rRNA from 1 species